rnacentral:rRNA from 1 species
GGGCACUCUGGAGAAACUGCCGGUGACAAACCGGAGGAAGGUGGGGAUGACGUCAAGUCAGCAUGGCCUUUAUGUCUGGGGCUACACACGUGCUACAAUGGCCGGUACAAACCGUUGCAAACUCGCGAGGGUGAGCUAAUCGGAGAAAGCCGGUCUCAGUUCGGAUUGUAGGCUUCAUGUAGGGCUGCAUGAAGUUGGAAUCGCUAGUAAUCGCGGAUCAGCAUGCCGCGGUGAAUACGUUCCCGGGC